UACGUAGGGCGCAAGCGUUUGUCCGGAAUUAUUUGGGGCGUAAAGAGCUCGUAGGCGGUUUGUCACGUCUGCUGUGAAAUCCCGAGGCUCAACCUCGGGCCUGCAGUGGGUACGGGCAGGCUAGAGUUCGGGUAGGGGAGACUGGAAUUCCUGGUGUAGCGGUGAAAUGCGCAGAUAUCAGGAGGAACACCCGGUGGCGAAGGCGGGGUCUCUGGGGCCCGAUACUGACGCUGAGGGAGCGAAAGCGUGGGGAGCGAACAGG
rnacentral:rRNA from 1 species